rnacentral:misc_RNA from 1 species
UCUCCGUAGGUGAACCUGCGGAGGGAUCAUUACUGAGUGAGGGUCUCCGGGCCCGACCUCCAACCCUUUUGUGAACCACCUCGUUGCUUCGGGGGCGACCCUGCCUUUCGGCGCGGCGCCCCCGGAGGCUCAUCAAACACUGCAUCUUUGCGUCGGAGUAUUAGUAAAUCUAAUCAAAACUUUCAACAACGGAUCUCUUGGUUCUGGCAUCGAUGAAGAACGCAGC